rnacentral:tRNA from 2 species
GGGUCCAUAACUCAGUGGUAGAGCAAUUGACUGCAGAUCAAUAGGUCACCGGUUCGAAUCCGGUUGGGCCCU